CCUACGGGAUGCAGCAGUGGGGAAUAUUGCGCAAUGGGCGAAAGCCUGACGCAGCGACGCCGCGUGAGGGAUGAAGGUCUUCGGAUCGUAAACCUCUGUCAGCAGGGAAGAACGGUCACUGUGCUAAUCAGCAGUGAAUUGACGGUACCUGCAAAGGACGCACCGGCUAACUCCGUGCCAGCAGCCGCGGUAAUACGGAGGGUGCGAGCGUUAAUCGGAAUUACUGGGCGUAAAGCGCUCGUAGGCGGUAUGUCAAGUCAAGGGUGAAAUCCCCGCGCUCAACGUGGGAACUGCAUUUGAAACUGGCAAACUGGAGUGUGUGAGAGGAGAGUGGAAGUCCAGGUGUAGGAGUGAAAGCCGUAGAUAUCUGGAGGAACAUCAGUGGCGAAGGCGACUAUCUGGCACAUAACUGACGCUGAGGAGCGAAAGCGUGGGUAGCAAACAGGAUUAGAUACCCUAGUAGUC
rnacentral:rRNA from 1 species